UAGGAUUUACCGUUUGGACUUAUAGUUAAUGUUUUAUGUUUAUGAUAUAUAAUUUGGGUUUAAGGUUUACGGUUUGGGUUUAGGGUCUAGGACUUGGGUUUAUGGUAUAGAGUUUAGGUUUAUAGUCUAGUUUUUGGGUUCAGGGUAUAUAAUUAGGGUUUAGGGUCUAGGAUUAGGGUUUAAGGUAUAGGGUUUGAGUUUAGGGGUUUGGAUUUGGGUUUAGAAUUUAGGGUAUAUGGUUUAGAAUUUAAGAUUUAGGAUUUAGCGUUUAGCUGGAAGCGUUAUCGUCAUUAAAAUUAGUGUUUUUAUUUUUUGUAGCUAUUUUUAUUUAAUUUAAUAUUUUUUAAUUAGUAAUUUAUGUGUCAAUUUGAUUGGUCAUAAAUGAUGAGGUGAAUUUAAAGGUUCAGCCUAGGGGGUGAACCUAAGUUCUGUCCUAUUAGUUUCCUUGCAUUUCAUUUUUUUUGUAAAAUUAUUCAAACUCUUGAAAUUAAUUUGGCUUUCAACUCAGGAUAUUUGGUUACCCCAAAAGCACUUGAUUUUGUAAGCUGAACAUAACUUAAACAAUGUAUACCAAACCCCAAUAUAUUGCUGAUAAUAUUUGGUUGCCUAAAUAUAACAUGUAAGUAGUUUUAUUUUUAUAUAUAAUAAAGG
rnacentral:lncRNA from 1 species